ACCGCCCUCCUUCCCGGGGAGCACUGCGCGAGCGCCGGCAUGGCGGCGCGGCGGCUGGGGGGCAGCUCCUGGCAGCAAGCGGUAGCGCUGAGCAGGCGGUGCUGCUUACCGGGCGGGAGGCGAGAGCGAUAUCGGUGCUCUUCUAGUAGUACGGCUCUUGGGAAGACUGUGGAAAAUUCAGAAGUUACUCAAGAAGAAAUUGUGCUCCCACGAAAGAAAACCUGGGGUAAGCUAGCUGUUCUUCAAACAUUGGCGUCUACCGUGAAGAGGGACCCUACUGCUGCUCAUUAUAUGUUCCAGGAUGACCCUUUCCUUACACCAAGAAAUGCAGCUAAUGCUCGUCUGUAUUCAUUGUCGAAGGAGGCUGGGAAAAAUGCUGCAAAAUACAUUAUUAAGCAAUUUCCUCAAUAUUUUGACAAGACUUUUGCAGAACCCAACAUACCGUGCUUGAUGCCUGAGAUGCUUACACCUCAGAUUGAAGGAGUGAGUGAGGAAGCUCUAAAAGAGCGUAUCCACCUCAGAAGGGUGAAAGAUUCUGUGGACCUGUUCGAUCAGCUCGUACAAGCAGGUACUCCUGUAUCUCUGGAGACCACAAACAGCCUUUUAGAUUUGUUAUGCUUCUAUGGAGGUGGAGAAUCUACUCCAGAAAAAGAGGAAGAACAAAAAGAGGAUUUGGAAGAACCAGGGGUGAACGCUUCAGAGCAGAAGGCUCCAAAGAGACAAUUCCAAAGAGGUUCACAGUCAUCUGGCCCUAGAUGGAGGGAGAACAACAACGCUGAAAGGAUAUUUAAGAUAAUGUCAGAGAGGAAUGCACACUCCUAUUGCACAAUGAUCCGUGGGAUGGUCAAGCAUGGGGCUUCUGCUAAAGCUUAUGACAUGUACAUGGACCUCCUGAAUGAAAGACACAAGGCUGAUGUGGACACCUUCAAUGCACUGAUUACAGCAGUCCCGUAUCUGAAGGAAAGGUUCUUAGAGAGAUGGGAGUUAGCCAAGGUCUUCCUGAAUCACAUGGCUCAGCAGGAAGUGCAACCAAAUCUGCUGACUUUCAAUGCUUUACUGAAGACUAUGAGAAAAUGUGGUGGUGUCGGCAGAAGUAUGGCUUUACCGGUAGUAAAGGAAAUGGAAGCACUUGGUAUAGAGCCAAGCCUUGCAACGUAUGAUCAUCUUCUCUUCAUAUUUUAUAGAGGCGUUGAUCUUUCCUCACCAGGCAUCAUCCUUGAAAUACUAGAUGAAGUUCAGAAGAGGAGUUUCACUCCCCAGGACCCUGAUGAUGCCAACUUUUUUGCCACCGCUAUGCAAGUGUGCUGUGAUCUUAAGGAUAUCAAGCUCGCUUAUCGGUUGAAUAAGGCAAUGGAGAAAGGAGACAACUGGAAAUUCUUGGACAUGGAUCGGUUAAAUGCCUACUGGUCAAAAUUCUUUUCAUUGUUGUGUAUGAUGGAACAAAUUGAUGUUGUGUUGAAAUGGUACAAAGAAAUGUCCCUGUCGGUCUUCUAUCCAACUCCCAGAAAUAUAUUGGACCUCCUCCAAGCACUGGAUGCAGCCAACCACUUGGAAGUGGUCCCUUCAGUCUGGGAAGAUAUGAAACAGAUGGGGUUUGGCAGGAGACAUGACCUGUUGGAAGAGCUCUUGUCUUUGAUGAGCAGGGAGCGGCACCCUGAGGAGAUUCAACAGGCGUUUGCCAAGUGUGCUGAAGACAUCAAAGCUUUCCAAGAGCAGACUGGGAGGGAGCAGGCCUCAUUAGACUGGACAGGAAGCAUGCUGGGCCACGUCGCUCUUUUGUUUUCAAGGGUUGGGAGAACCCAGGACGCUUGGACCAUGAUGGAGCGUUUCCAGCAAAUGAAUAGGAUUCCCACUGACCAGGUGAUGGACGAGUUCUUGACCUGUGCUAAACAAACCAAUAGCCCAGAGGAGGCGAUUAAGCUGGUGAAGCUGGCAGCGUCCCUUGGUCUUCCUUCAUCUCAGAGGCUUAAGAGCAGAACAGAGAAGGAAUUUGAACUCUCUGAAAAGCAGAAGAAAACCUUGGAGAGUAUCAAGUCAGACAGCGACAGCAGCGAUAGUGACAGCGAUAGUGACCAUGAGUAGCUGUCCCACUUGCCUUCCCCUUAAGAAAACUGGGGGCAACCACUCCUUGAUGCCAGGAGGCUUCUGUGAGAAGUGAAAUCACUGGAGGGAUGGCUUCUGGGAGGUGAGCACUCCAGGGCAUUCUGACACAGGACCUGCUUGUACAUUGUCCUCGUUGGAGCAAGCUAGAAGCUCUCCUGUUGAACACUGUUCUUGGUAACUUCAAGCACAGCAUGGGCUACACCAACAGUCUCUUCCACGCCAAUACCUGGAGGAGCUUGCUCCUGCUGGGCAGCUGCCACCUGCUUCAGCAGCUUGGCUGAGGUCCUGGAGGGUUGCGGUGAGAGCAGUGCAGCUUCCUGGGGACACCUCGGCAGGUACAACACCUUGACAGCUUGAGCAAGGCUUCUCUGGGACCUCCUGUGACUUCAACCUGCACCAGAUUUAAUUCCUUUCCAGCUCACUUGAAUGAACUACUUUAAAUAUCCAGUUUACUCUGAAUGUAAACACACUGUACAAAUUAAUGAAUAGACAUAUUGAUCACAUCAAUGAAUUCUUGCUCCUUGAAAGGACUGAAACAGAAAUAAGUUUUAACUUCUUCAUGGUCAUGGAGAAAGGCUGUUCUUGUACUACCCAGCUGUAUUUGAUUUUUAAAUAGGAGACAACAGCAGGAGAAAGUGGUUGAAGUCUUGUUUUAUUCAGCUGACAGAGUGGCAAAUCAUUAAUGGUAGGUUACAAACAUUAUUUGGGUUGGAUCACAAGCCCGCUUGGUAAGAUGGGGAAAUAAAAUUGUUACACAAAUUGUA